AAUACAAAUAAAAAUACAAACCACAACUCCUAAAGCUAAACUUUUGCCAAGUACUAGAUUUUAACCCGCAGUAUACCGCGGGAACAAUUUAUUUUUUAAAGUUAGUAUAUAUAAAAGUUUACAAAUUGUAUCUAUCUAUAAAAUAAUUUUAUUUUAUAGUUUACAAAUGUUAUUAAGUAACGUCCUGCUAAACCCGUCCUAUAAAAAAAACCAUUUAUUUUAUUAAUGUUGAUCUUAUUUAUGAUAUGCUUAUGAAUCAUUGUCUAAAUAUUUUGUAAUUUUGUAGUAAUUAAAUGCUAUCAGAUUAUAUCUCUGCGCUUUGAUGAUUAUAAUCGAAUUGUUAUAGUUAUGGAGAAAAUCAAUAUCAAAAAUGAUAAUUUUAUAGUAAUUAAAUGAUAUUAAAUAAUUUGGA
rnacentral:sRNA from 1 species